GCUAAUGCAAACCUCCCUGACAGAGAGAACCAAACAACUGACGUUGCAGCGCCGUGGCAACGCAGGCCCUAACGACAGGGAGGCAGUCGUUAUGCAGAUGAGGUCCAGCUGAGAGCGCGGGAGGCCGCCUGGCUCGUUAGACCGCGGCCCAGCAAAUGGCUCGCUAAUGUAACACCGCUUCCUGGUCUAAUGGAGUCCUGUUUUGCAGAAUUAUUUGUCUUUGCUCCCCGCAGGGAGCCUGGGGGCCACUGACAGCAAGAAGGAGAGAAAGUGGAGAGAAAGGGAGAAUGACCCAACACACUGUGACUUGACGACAGGCCGUCAUGGAGCGGAUCUGGAGAGAAAACAUACAAUGCAAAAAGAUUGAACCUGCCACAAUACUGUGCGUACACAACAUCACGCGGACUCAGGCGAUUACUGGCUCGUGGUCAGAUCCACCGGGCUGAUGGGCCUCUGAGUUCACCUUAAUGACGGAGGUGGGAGCCCUGGCAGGGGGGUUGGCGUGGAGAUGCGCCACGUUGGCCAUGCUGGCCAGCAUGCUCUGUCGGUUCAUCUGGCCCAUCGCCAUGGAAACGGAGGCUGGCGCCAGGCUGGCAGGGAUCAGAGGAUGUGACAUCAUCAUGAAGGGCAACUGCUCAAGAACUGGAGUAGAAAAGAAUAAAAAAAGAAGGAGAACAAGAUGGAGUAAGACAGUCAGUUGGUUUUCAUAAGUCAGACCAGGCUGGCUCGUCAUAAAUGUGGGGCUUCUUUCGUUUUACCUUCAGCUGUGUUUGUUUUAUUUUUUUUACCCAUCACAUCUUAAAAGGCUUUCCUCUGUUCGGCCCAAUGUCGUUUACUGAACUGAAAAUGCACAGCAUCUCUCAUGACAAGAAAUAAAUCUGAAAACCAG